AUGAGGGGAGCAGGCCCUACUGUCGGGAGAAGGAGCGGAGCAGGCCCUACUGUAGGGAGAAAGAGCGGAGCAGGCCCUACUGUCGGGAGAAGGAGGGGAGUAGGCCCUACUGUCGGGAGAAGGAGGGGAGCAGGCCCUACUGUUGGGAGAAGGAGCGGAACAGACCCUACUGUAGGGAGAAGGAGGGGAGCAGGCCCUACUGUAGGGAGAAGGAGGGGAGCAGGCCCUACUGUAGGGAGAAGGAGGGGAGCAGGCCCAACUGUUGCGAGAAGGAGGGGAGUAGGCCCUACUGUUGCGAGAAGGAGGGGAGUAGGCCCUACUGUCGGGAGAAGGAGGGGAGCAGGCCCUACUGUUGGGAGAAGGAGCGGAACAGGCCCUACUGUAGGGAGAAGGAGGGGAGCAGGCUCUACUGUAGGGAGAAGGAGCGGAGCAGGCCCUACUGUAGGGAGAAGGAGGGGAGCAGGCCCUACUGUAGGGAGAAGGAGCGGAGCAGGCCCUACUGUAGGGAGAAGGAGGGGAGUAGGCCCUACUGUCGGGAGAAGGAGGGGAGCAGGCCCUACUGUUGGGAGAAGGAGCGGAGCAGGCCCUACUGUAGGGAGAAGGAUGGGAGCAGGCCCUACUGUAGGGAGAAGGAGGGGAGCAGGCCCUACUGUAGGGAGAAGGAGGGGAGCAGGCACUACUGUAGGGAGAAGGAGCGGAGCAGGCCCUACUGUAGGGAGAAGGAGGGGAGCAGGCUCUACUGUAGGGAGAAGGAGCGGAGCAGGCCCUACUGUAGGGAGAAGGAGGGGAGCAGGCCCUACUGUAGGGAGAAGGAGCGGAGCAGGCCCUACUGUAGGGAGAAGGAGGGGAGCAGGCCCUACUGUAGGGAGAAGGAGGGGAGCAGGCCCUACUGUAGGGAGAAGGAGGGGAGCAGGCCCAACUGUUGCGAGAAGGAGGGGAGUAGGCCCUACUGUUGCGAGAAGGAGGGGAGUAGGCCCUACUGUCGGGAGAAGGAGGGGAGCAGGCCCUACUGUUGGGAGAAGGAGCGGAACAGGCCCUACUGUAGGGAGAAGGAGGGGAGCAGGCUCUACUGUAGGGAGAAGGAGCGGAGCAGGCCCUACUGUAGGGAGAAGGAGGGGAGCAGGCCCUACUGUAGGGAGAAGGAGCGGAGCAGGCCCUACUGUAGGGAGAAGGAGGGGAGUAGGCCCUACUGUCGGGAGAAGGAGGGGAGCAGGCCCUACUGUUGGGAGAAGGAGCGGAGCAGGCCCUACUGUAGGGAGAAGGAUGGGAGCAGGCCCUACUGUAGGGAGAAGGAGGGGAGCAGGCCCUACUGUAGGGAGAAGGAGGGGAGCAGGCACUACUGUAGGGAGAAGGAGCGGAGCAGGCCCUACUGUAGGGAGAAGGAGGGGAGCAGGCCCUACUGUAGGGAGAAGGAGCGGAGCAGGCCCUACUGUAAGGAGAAGGAGGGGAGCAGGCUCUACUGUAGGGAGAAGGAGCGGAGCAGGCCCUACUGUAGGGAGAAGGAGCGGAGCAGGCCCUACUGUAGGGAGAAGGAGGGGAGUAGGCCCUACUGUCGGGAGAAGGAGGGGAGCAGGCCCUACUGUUGGGAGAAGGAGCGGAGCAGGCCCUACUGUAGGGAGAAGGAUGGGAGCAGGCCCUACUGUAGGGAGAAGGAGGGGAGCAGGCCCUACUGUAGGGAGAAGGAGGGGAGCAGGCCCUACUGUCGGGAGAAGGAGGGGAGCAGGCCCUACUGUAAGGAGAAGGAGCGGAGCAGGCCCUACUGUAGGGAGAAGGAGCGGAGCAGGCCCUACUGUAGGGAGAAGGAGGGGAGUAGGCCCUACUGUCGGGAGAAGGAGGGGAGCAGGCCCUACUGUUGGGAGAAGGAGCGGAGCAGGCCCUACUUUAGGGAGAAGGAGCGGAGCAGGCCCUACUGUAGGGAGAAGGAGGGGAGUAGGCCCUACUGUCGGAGAAGGAGGGGAGCAGCCUACUGUUGGGAGAAGGAGGGGAGCAGGCCCUACUGUAGGGAGAAGGAGGGGAGUAGGCCCUACUGUAGGGAGAAGGAGGGGAGCAGGCCCUACUGUCGGGGAGAGGAGGGAGCAGGCCCUACUGUAG
rnacentral:lncRNA from 1 species